rnacentral:rRNA from 1 species
ACCCGCUGAAUUUAAGCAUAUAAGUAAGUGGUGGAAAUUAAACCAAAUGGGAUUCCUUAAGUAAUUGCGAAUGAACAAGGACAUGCUUAGCUUGACAAAUGGAGCCUUUGGCUUUGACUUGUAUUGUUGAAAUGUAUUACCAACAGAGAUGCAGGUGUGAGCUUAUUGAAAGAAAGCGUUAAUGAGGGUGAGAAUCCUGUUUGUCAUGCGCAAUCCUUUGUGCACGGUAUAUGUUUGCUGAGUCCACUCCUUGGCAUUGGAAUGCAAAGUGGGUGGUAAGUUUCAUGUAAAGGUAAAUAUAGAAUUGAGAUGAUAGCACACAAGUACCCUGAGGGAAAUAUGAAAAGGACUUUGAAAAGAGAAUUAAAUGAGUUUGUAUUUGCUGAACAGAAAGUAAACAGACUUGAUUUUGCUGGGUGAGAUUGAGGUGCUUGCUUGACAACAGGUGUUGGCUGCAAGUGUGAUGAUUCUUGCUUUGCUUGCCAGUUUCCCUUUGUACAUUUGAUUACCCUUGCACAUGAAUGGUAAUUUUCUUGCGGGGUUUGGAUUGCAUGUGUUUGUGAUGAUUUGUGUUUUGAUGCAUGUGUCUGGUGAAUUUUGAUGGUGCUCACUUCUUUAGGGGGGGGGUUCUCCUCUUUCAGCUUUCAAAUCCUGACACACACUUGCUGGCAAAAUGCUUCUGCUUGACCCGUCUUGAAACACGGACCAAGGAGUCUAACAGAUGUGCAAGCUUGAGGGUUGCAUACCUUUGUGUACAAUGAAAGUGUUGGCUGGGAUAUUUGCACCAGCAGCCGACCGAUUAGCAGACAGAGGUUUGAGUUGGAGCAUAUCUAUUAGGACCCGAAAGAUGGUGAACUAUGCCUGAACAGAAUGAAUUCAGAGGAAACUCUGAUGGAGGUUCGUAUCGAUACUGACGUGCAAAUCGUUCGU